CACAUGCAAGUCGAGCGGCAGCGGGAAGUAGUUUACUACUUUGCCGGCGAGCGGCGGACGGGUGAGUAAUGUCUGGGAAACUGCCUUAUGGAGGGGGAUAACUACUGGAAACGGUAGCUAAUACCGCAUAACGUCUACGGACCAAAUUGGGGGACCUUCGGGCCUCACGCCAUCGGAUGUGCCCAGAUGGGAUUAGCUAGUAGGUGGGGUAAUGGCUCACCUAGGCGACGAUCCCUAGCUGGUCUGAGAGGAUGACCAGCCACACUGGAACGGAGACACGGUCCAGACUCCUNCGGGAGGCAGCAGUGGGGAAUAUUGCACAAUGGGCGCAAGCCUGAUGCAGCCAUGCCGCGUGUGUGAAGAAGGCCUUCGGGUUGUAAAGCACAUUCAGCGAGGAGGAAGGCAUAAAGGUUAAUAACCUUUGUGAUUGACGUUACU
rnacentral:rRNA from 1 species